rnacentral:rRNA from 1 species
CGGACGGGUGAGUAACGCGUGAGAACCUGCCUCAAGGUCGGGGACGACAGUUGGAAACGACUGCUAAUGCCGGAUGAGCCGAAUAGGUAAAAGAUUUAUCGCCUUGAGAGGGGCUCGCGUCUGAUUAGCUAGAUGGUGAGGUAAAGGCUUACCAUGGCGACGAUCAGUAGCUGGUCUGAGAGGAUGAGCAGCCACACUGGGACUGAGACACGGCCCAGACUCCUACGGGAGGCAGCAGUGGGGAAUUUUCCGCAAUGGGCGAAAGCCUGACGGAGCAAUACCGCGUGAGGGAGGAAGGCUCUUGGGUUGUAAACCUCAAAACUUAGGGAAGAAAAAAAUGACGGUACCUAAUGUAAGCAUCGGCUAACUCCGUGCCAGCAGCCGCGGUAAUACGGAGGAUGCAAGCGUUAUCCGGAAUCAUUGGGCGUAAAGAGUCCGUAGGUGGUACUUCAAGUCUGCUUUCAAAGACCGAAGCUCAACCUCGGAAAGGGAGUGGAAACUGAAGAGCUAGAGUAUAGUAGGGGUAGAGGGAAUUCCUAGUGUAGCGGUGAAAUGCGUAGAGAUUAGGAAGAACACCCAGUGGCGAAGGCGCUCUACUGGGCAUAUACUGGCACUGAGGGACGAAAGCUAGGGGAGCGAAAGGGAUUAGAUACCCCUGUAGUCCUAGCGGUAAACGAUGGAUACUAGGCGUAGUGCUGUAAAAGGGACUGUGCCGAAGCUAACGCGUUAAGUAUCCCGCCCUGGGGAGUACGCACGCAAGUGUGAAACUCAAAGGAAUUUGACGGGGACCCGUACAAGCGGGUGGGAGUAUUGUGGUUUGAUUUGAUGCAACGCGAAGAACCUUACCAAGGCUUGACAUCCUGCGAAUUUUGAUGAAAGUUGAGAGUGCCUAAGGGAACGCAGAGACAGGUGGUGCAUGGCUGUUGUCAGCUUGUGUCGUGAGAUGUUGGGUUAAGUCCCGCAACGAGCGCAACCCUUGUCCUUAGUUGCCAGCCUUAAGUUGGGGACUUUAGGGAGACCGCCGGGGAGAACUUGGAGGAAGGUGGGGAUGACGUCAAGUCAGCCUGCCCCUUACGUUUUGGGCUACCCACGUACUACAAUGGUUGGGACAAAGGGGAGGGAAGCCGCGAGGUGGAGCGAAUUUCAUCAAACCCAGCCACAGUUCAGAUUGCAGGGUGAAACUUGCCUGCAGAAGGAGGAAUCGCUAGUAAUUGC